rnacentral:rRNA from 1 species
AUUGAACGCUGGCGGCAUGCCUUACACAUGCAAGUCGAACGGCAGCACGGGAGCAAUCCUGGUGGCGAGUGGCGAACGGGUGAGUAAAGUAUCGGAACGUGCCCAGUCGUGGGGGAUAACGUAGCGAAAGUUACGCUAAUACCGCAUACGAUCUAUGGAUGAAAGCGGGGGAUCGCAAGACCUCGCGCGAUUGGAGCGGCCGAUAUCAGAUUAGGUAGUUGGUGGGGUAAAGGCUCACCAAGCCGACGAUCUGUAGCUGGUCUGAGAGGACGACCAGCCACACUGGGACUGAGACACGGCCCAGACUCCUACGGGAGGCAGCAGUGGGGAAUUUUGGACAAUGGGCGAAAGCCUGAUCCAGCCAUGCCGCGUGCAGGAUGAAGGCCUUCGGGUUGUAAACUGCUUUUGUACGGAACGAAAAGGUUUGGCCUAAUAAGCUGAGCUCAUGACGGUACCGUAAGAAUAAGCACCGGCUAACUACGUGCCAGCCGCCGGUAAAA